rnacentral:rRNA from 1 species
CCUACGGGAGGCAGCAGUAGGGAAUAUUGCUCAAUGGGGGAAACCCUGAAGCAGCAACGCCGCGUGGAGGAUGAAGGUUUUCGGAUUGUAAACCCCUUUUGUUAGAGAAGAUAAUGACGGUAUCUAACGAAUAAGCACCGGCUAACUCCGUGCCAGCAGCCGCGGUAAUACGGAGGGUGCAAGCGUUACUCGGAAUCACUGGGGGUAAAGAGCGCGUAGGCGGGAUAGCAAGUCAGAUGUGAAAUCCUAGGGCUUAACCAACGAACUGCAUUUGAAACUGUUAUUCUAGAGUAAGGGAGAGGUAAGUGGAAUUCUUGGGGUAGGGGUAAAAUCCGUAGAGAUCAAGAGGAAUAC